rnacentral:rRNA from 1 species
UACGUAGGGGGCUAGCGUUGUCCGGAAUCAUUGGGCGUAAAGAGCGUGUAGGCGGCCAAAUAGGUCGGUUGUGAAAACUGGAGGCUUAACCUCCAGACGUCGACCGAAACCAUCUGGCUAGAGUCCGGAAGAGGAGAGUGGAAUUCCUGGUGUAGCGGUGAAAUGCGUAGAUAUCCGGAGGAACACCAAUGGCGAAGGCAGCACUCUGGGACGUGACUGACGCUGAGACGCGAAAGCGUGGGGAGCAAACAGG